rnacentral:rRNA from 1 species
GACGAACGCUGGCGGCGUGCCUAAUACAUGCAAGUCGAGCGAACAGAAAAGGAGCUUGCUCCUUUUACGUUAGCGGCGGACGGGUGAGUAACACGUGGGCAACCUACCCUAUAGUUUGGGAUAACUCCGGGAAACCGGGGCUAAUACCGAAUAAUCUCUUUUGCUUCAUGGCAAGAGACUGAAAGACGGUUUCGGCUGUCGCUAUAGGAUGGGACCGCGGCGCAUUAGCCAGUUGGUGAGGUAACGGCUCACCAAGGCGACGAUGCGUAGCCGACCUGAGAGGGUGAUCGGCCACACUGGGACUGAGACACGGCCCAGACUCCUACGGGAGGCAGCAGUAGGGAAUCUUCCACAAUGGGCGAAAGCCUGAUGGAGCAACGCCGCGUGAGUGAAGAAGGUUUUCGGAUCGUAAAACUCUGUUGUAAGGGAAGAACAAGUACAGUAGUAACUGGCUGUACCUUGACGGUACCUUAUUAGAAAGCCACGGCUAACUACGUGCCAGCAGCCGCCGUAA